UCAAUUUCGUAAAAGGAACUUCAAGGCGACAGAGAAUAUUCACUUGAUGCGUGUGACACUUGCAGACUGUAGUAGACGACGCUUGUCACGACGCUGACGUUUUGAAGGUUCGACACGACGUCGCGCGUUUAAAUUUACAUGAAAAAUAUAGAAACGGAGAAUCGGCUUUUCGAACGCACCUGUGCAAAACGGCAUGCUUUGGUUCGAGGUUAUGUCACGUUCGUAAAGUUCUGAUAGAAUCAUUCAGUCGAGUAUCCAGUGGCCACCGCGUGCAAUCAACAUGGGGAAGUUCAUCACGAAUCCUUCGAAGAAUCCAAUUGGGGACGUGGAACCGAUAACCCAACUGCAAGCAUCUAAACUUUUUCGGCGUCUACGUCGAUAAAGUCGGAAAAUCCCGAGGUCAAAAUUGAGGAGCAGGUGCGUCAUCUUUGAAGUACAUCAUGGAGCGUCGACUUUUCGGUAUUUACGACGAUGCCCUUGUUUUCAUAUGUGUCACGCUCAAGGGAAGACACCGGCUGCAGCUGCAGCCUUUACGUUGAAAAUUCACCAUGGGGUAAUUCGGUGCAAGAAACUUCCACCCAGCGCAGCAGCUCGGCUUGCAACAGGCAUUAAGAUUUUAAUUAAGAGACCUUUGCAGUUCCUUUAGACUUCGAUACGAUGAUCUUAAGUAAACUUGUGUAAAAGCAUCAUUAAAUUUAUGUGCAGUAAA